rnacentral:rRNA from 1 species
CGCUAAACAGCUAGCCCCACCCACCAAAAACAACAAAUAAAUAUAAAUAACCCCAAAUACACCAACAUUACCAUUAAACAAACCAUUUUUCCUCCCUAGUAUAGGCGAUAGAAAAGGACCUGUUGGAGCAAUAGAGAAAGUACCGCAAGGGAACGCUGAAAGAGAAAUGAAACAACCCAUUACAAGCAUAAAAAAGCAGAGAUUUAAACUCGUACCUUUUGCAUCAUGAUUUAGCCAGAACCCCUCAAGCAAAGAGACCUUUAGUUUGACCCCCCGAAACUAGGUGAGCUACUCCAAGACAGCCUGUAAUAGGGCAAACCCGUCCCUGUGGCAAAAGGGUGGGAAGAGCUUCGAGUAGGGAUGACAGAUCUAUCGAACCUAGUUAUAGCUGGUUGCCUGAGAAUUGGAUAGAAGUUCAGCCUCUCGGUUUUUCCUGUCCCCUAAUUUAAUUUUACUUGACACAAAGAGAAACCAAGAGAGUUAGUCAAAGGGGGUACAGCUCCUUUGAAACAAGACACAACUUUACCAGGAGGGUAAAGAUCAUAAUAACAUAAGGAAAAAUGUUCUGGUGGGCCUAAAAGCAGCCACCCCGAUAGAUAGCGUUAAAGCUCGUACACAUUCCUAAUCCUUCAAUUCCGAUAAUUCAAUCUUAACCCCCUAAUCCUACCAGGCCGUCCCAUGCAAACAUGGGAGCGAUUAUGCUAAUAUGAGUAACAAGAGAGCCUAACGUCUCUCUCCCUGCACACGUGUAAGUCGAAAUGGACCCCCCAUCGACCUUUAACGGCCCCAAACAAAGAGGGAACUGGACUACAAAUCAAACAACAAGAAAAACCCCCAACCCACAACCGUUAACCCUACACUGGUGUGCUUCAAGGAAAGACUAAAAGAAAAAGAAGGAACUCGGCAAAUACAUGAGGCCUCGCCUGUUUACCAAAAACAUCGCCUCUUGCAAAACUUAAGAAUAAGAGGUCCCGCCUGCCCUGUGACUAUAUGUUUAACGGCCGCGGUAUCCUGACCGUGCGAAGGUAGCGUAAUCACUUGUCUUUUAAAUGGAGACCUGUAUGAAUGGCAUAACGAGGGCUUAACUGUCUCCUUUUUCCAGUCAAUGAAAUUGAUCUCUCCGUGCAGAAGCGGGGAUAAAAACAUAAGACGAGAAGACCCUAUGGAGCUUUAGACACUAAGGUAGAUCGUGUUAAGCACCCCCUGACAAAGGGCCAAACCCUAUGAAUCCUACCCUAAUGUCUUUGGUUGGGGCGACCGCAGGGAAAUAAAAAACCCCCGCGUGGAACGGGAGUACUCUCCUCCUACUACCAAGAGCUACCGCUCUAAUAAACAGAAUCUCUGACCCAUUAGAUCCGGCAACGCCGAUUAACGAACCAAGUUACCCUAGGGAUAACAGCGCAAUCCUCUUUUAGAGCCCAUAUCGACAAGAGGGUUUACGACCUCGAUGUUGGAUCAGGACAUCCUAAUGGUGCAGCCGCUAUUAAGGGUUCGUUUGUCAACGAUUAAA